UACGGGGGGGGGGUAAGCGUUGUUCGGAAUUACUGGGCGUAAAGGGCUCGUAGGCGGCCAACUAAGUCAUACGUGAAAUCCCUCAGCUUAACUGGGGAACUGCGUGUGAUACUGGAUGGCUUGGAUUUGGGAGAGGGAUGCGGAAGUUCCAGGUGUAGCGGUGAAAUGCGUAGAUAUCUGGAGGAACACCGAUGGCGAAGGCAGGUCUCUGGGCCACUACUGACGCUGAGAAGCGAAAGCAUGGGGAGCGAACAGG
rnacentral:rRNA from 1 species